rnacentral:rRNA from 1 species
AAUACGUUCCCGGGCCUUGUACACACCGCCCGUCAAACAAUGGAAGUUGGGAGUGCCUGAAGUCGAUGACCGAAAGGAGUCGCCUAGGGUAAAGCCGAUAACUGGUGUU